UAGGGAAUUUUGCGCAAUGGACGAAAGUCUGACGCAGCAACGCCGCGUGCAGGAAGAAUGCCUUAGGGUUGUAAACUGCUUUUAUGAGGGACGACAUCGACGGUACCUCAUGAAUAAGGAUCGGCUAACUCCGUGCCAGCAGCCGCGGUCAUACGGAGGAUCCGAGCGUUAUCCGGAAUUACUGGGCGUAAAGAGUUGCGUAGGCGGUUAGUUAAGCAAGGUAUAAAAUACUACGGCUCAACCGUAGGCCUAUAUCUUGAACUAACUAACUAGGGCAUAGAAGAGGUAACUGGAAUUGCUAGUGUAGGAGUGAAAUCCGUAGAUAUUAGCAGGAACACCGAUGGCGUAAGCAGGUUACUAGUCUAUUGCCGACGCUGAGGCACGAAAGCGUGGGGAGCGAACGGGAUUAGAUACCCGCGUAGUCC
rnacentral:rRNA from 1 species